GACGAACGCUGGCGGCGUGCUUAACACAUGCAAGUCGAACGUGAUUUUUGUGGAAAUUCUUUCGGGAAUGGAAAUGAAAUGAAAGUGGCGAACGGGUGAGUAACACGUGAGCAACCUACCUUACACAGGGGGAUAGCCGUUGGAAACGACGAUUAAUACCGCAUGAGACCACAGAAUCGCAUGAUAUAGGGGUCAAAGAUUUAUCGGUGUAAGAAGGGCUCGCGUCUGAUUAGCUAGUUGGAAGGGUAAAGGCCUACCAAGGCGACGAUCAGUAGCCGGUCUGAGAGGAUGAACGGCCACAUUGGAACUGAGACACGGUCCAAACUCCUACGGGAGGCAGCAGUGGGGAAUAUUGCACAAUGGGGGGAACUCUGAUGCAGCCUCGCCGCGUGAGCGAAGAAGGUUUUCGAAUCGUAAAGCUCUGUCCUAUGAGAAGAUAAUGACGUAUCAUAG
rnacentral:rRNA from 1 species